rnacentral:rRNA from 1 species
UGGGGAAUAUUGCACAAUGGAGGAAACUCUGAUGCAGCGACGCCGCGUGAGUGAAGAAGGUCUUCGGAUCGUAAAACUCUGUCCUUGGUGAAGAAAGAAAUGACGGUAGCCAAGGAGGAAGCCCCGGCUAACUACGUGCCAGCAGCCGCGGUAAUACGUAGGGGGCGAGCGUUGUCCGGAUUUACUGGGCGUAAAGGGUGAGUAGGCGGUUAUAUAAGUCAGAUGUAAAAGGCACAGGCUUAACUUGUGUAAGCAUUUGAAACUGUAUAACUUGAGUGCAGGAGAGGUAAGUGGAAUUCCUAGUGUAGCGGUGAAAUGCGUAGAUAUUAGGAGGAACACCAGUGGCGAAGGCGACUUACUGGACUGUAACUGACGCUGAGUCACGAAAGCGUGGGUAGCAAACAGGAUUAGAUACCCUGGUAGUCCACGCUGUAAACGAUGAGUGCUAGGUGUUGGGUAGCGAUACUCAGUGCCGAAGUAAACACAAUAAGCACUCCGCCUGGGGAGUACGGUCGCAAGACUG